CCUACGGGAGGCAGCAGUGGGGAAUAUUGCGCAAUGGGCGAAAGCCUGACGCAGCGACGCCGCGUGAGGGAUGAAGGUCUUCGGAUCGUAAACCUCUGUCAGCAGGGAAGAACGGUCACUGUGCUAAUCAGCAGUGAAUUGACGGUACCUGCAAAGGAAGCACCGGCUAAAUCCGUGCCAGCAGCCGCGGUAAUACGGAGGGUGCGAGCGUGAAUCGGAAUUACUGGGCGGAAAGCGCUCGUAGGCGGUAUGUCAAGUCAAGGGUGAAAUCCCCGAGCUCAACGUGGGAACUGCCUUUGAAACUGGCAGACUGGAGUGGGUGAGAGGAUAGUGGAAUUCCAGGUGUAGGAGUGAAAUCCGUAGAUAUCUGGAGGAACAUCAGUGGCGAAGGCGACUAUCUGGCACAUAACUGACGCUGAGGAGCGAAAGCGUGGGUAGCAAACAGGAUUAGAUACCCCAGUAGUC
rnacentral:rRNA from 1 species